GACGAACGCUGGCGGCGUGCUUAACACAUGCAAGUCGAACGGAAAGGCUCCAGCUUGCUGGAGUACUCGAGUGGCGAACGGGUGAGUAACACGUGGGUAAUCUGCCCUGCACUCUGGGAUAAGCCUGGGAAACUGGGUCUAAUACUGGAUAUGACCUUUCUCCUUAUGGGGUUUGGUGGAAAGUUUUUCGGUGUAGGAUGAGCCCGCGGCCUAUCAGCUUGUUGGUGGGGUGAUGGCCUACCAAGGCGACGACGGGUAGCCGGCCUGAGAGGGUGAUCGGCCACAUUGGGACUGAGAUACGGCCCAGACUCCUACGGGAGGCAGCAGUGGGGAAUAUUGCACAAUGGGCGGUAGCCUGAUGCAGCGACGCCGCGUGAGGGAUGACGGCCUUCGGGUUGUAAACCUCUUUCAGCAGGGACGAAGCGUAAGUGACGGUACCUGCAGAAGAAGCACCGGCUAACUAUGUG
rnacentral:rRNA from 1 species